rnacentral:tRNA from 3 species
GGGUCGUUAGCUCAGUCGGUAGAGCAGUUGACUCUUAAUCAAUUGGUCGUAGGUUCGAUCCCUACACGACCCA